AACAAACGCUGGCGGCGUGCCUAAUACAUGCAAGUCGAACGGGGAAAGCUUUCGGGUGAGUACUAGUGGCGCACGGGUGAGGAACGCGUGGAUAAUCUGCCUUAGAGUGGGGGAUAACUAGUCGAAAGAUUAGCUAAUACCGCAUAAGACCACAGGAGCUGCGGCUCUAGGGGUCAAAGGUUUUUCGCUCUAAGAUGAGUCCGCGUAAGAUUAGCUAGUUGGAGGUAACGGCUCACCAAGGCGACGAUCUUUAACUGGUCUGAGAGGAUGAUCAGUCACACUGGAACAGAGACACGGUCCAGACUCCUACGGGAGGCAGCAGUAGGGAAUAUUGCACAAUGGAGGAAACUCUGAUGCAGCGACGCCGCGUGAGUGAUGAAGGCCUUCGGGUCGUAAAGCUCUGUCGCAGGGGAAUAACACAAUGAAUGUACCCUGUAAGAAAGGAUCGGCUAACUUCGUGCCAGCCGCCGCGGUAACAC
rnacentral:rRNA from 1 species